CCUGGCGAGAAUGAACCAGCUUUUUAUGUCCUCCUUUGGCCUUCACCCUGAACAAGGCGUAAUUAUUGCUCAUACGCAGACAGUAUCAAUUCUCCGUAUGGCUAGCCUCCGUCAAAUGAAAAUUAACGAAAGGAAAGGCGAAGAAAGAAAUUUAAUGUGUUGUUGAUGGCCUAGUUGAGCAGCAAAGCAGAAAAUGUCCUUGUAAACAACCCUGUUGCUUCAUUGCUUGUCUUCGCUGCACUUAGCCAAUCUUGACGGGACGACUGGUGGAAAGGAAGUUUCUUUGCACUCGAGUGUGCAGAUUGUCUCAGCCAUUUUCUCCAUUGGAGUUGCCGUAAUUGUUUUGUACCAGCCAUCAACUUGGUGAACAUCCGAGAAGAACCUCUACAGCAUCAUUCCUCGGGAUAUCUGGCUUCGGGGACACUUUGCUAUUGAAAGGUAACCUAGUGUGAUGACACUUCUGUCACACUAAAGAAGACGAGUCCAGAUACAGCUUGAUCCCUUCUUGUUCACCUAUCUACCACGUUGAUGUAUACUGUCAACCUACAUGAUAUGAAAUGGAGGCGAAAUGUGUUUUCUUCAUUCUUCUGGCAUGCGUCACUCUUACUUGCUGUGCAUCGACAUCACUGCGUACAUCACGUGACUUGAAUGAUGUGGCUGCAGCAGUGGACAUUGUUCACGCCCUUGAUCAGCUUCUCGACAACAUCGAAGUCGACAGCCGCCACCGUCGAGGCCGUCAUCGUCGCUGUCGUCCUUAUCGUCAUCGCCGCAUGGUGCAGCUGCAGCUCGGCCCUGUCACACACCGCUGUCAGCAUCGUCACAUGCACGUCACAGCCGACGGUCGCACCGUCAACCUGAGGUCAGCAAGAUGAAACGAUGAAAGGAUCGUUUGUCACCGGUGUCGCUUAAACUGUUGAAAUUUGCUUCGGUUUUUUUCCCUUGUCAAGAAAUUAUUUGCAAAUAAACGAUAAAAGGUC